rnacentral:rRNA from 1 species
AUUGAACGCUGGCGGAAUGCUUUACACAUGCAAGUCGAACGGUAGAGGGGGCAACCCCUUGAGAGUGGCGAACGGGUGAGUAAUAUAUCGGAACGUGCCCAGUCGUGGGGAUAACGUAGCGAAAGUUACGCUAAUACCGCAUACGAUCUAAGGAUGAAAGCGGGGGACUCGCAAGAGCCUCGCGCGAUUGGAGCGGCCGAUAUCAGAUUAGGUAGUUGGUGGGUAAAGGCUCACCAAGCCAACGAUCUGUAGCUGGUCUGAGAGGACGACCAGCCACACUGGAACUGAGACACGGUCCAGACUCCUACGGGAGGCAGCAGUGGGGAAUUUUGGACAAUGGACGCAAGUCUGAUCCAGCCAUUCCGC